rnacentral:rRNA from 1 species
CACGAGAACAGUUUGCCUGACCAGGUCCGACCGACCAAACUUCUCACCUACUCUUUUUCCCUUGGUGAUUUCUCUCCCUGUUCAUCUCUCCCAGUCUCGGUGUGUUCGUUUUAAUACGUUAGACGGGUCACCACGGAUGUCCUACCUUUUCUUAGUCUGCACAAUUGGUAGUCGUCUAUAUAUACACAACCCGGUCUUCCGUUGCAUCGUAGUAGUAGAGGUGUUCAUGUGUUCGGUUCGAUUCCGUGGUUUAAGUGUCUUAUAGUCACUUCAGAACCGAAAUGAACAUGUAUGUGGAGACAAACGAUUAUAAAAGUACGUUUAUAGUCUCAGGACAGGACCAAGAAACGUACCACCCCUACCCAGUUGUUCGACGUCUCCGUCGAUUCUUCUUUAAACUGUACCUUUAGUUCGACGGGGACAGGCCAUAACUCUAAGACGUCUGAAACGAACUACGGUACCACUCUUCCGACAUCGUCCUUGAACAAUGGACGAGUCUAGGUCUUUCUGUUCAAACAUGAACUUUUUUACCUUACGAUUCACUAACAACUUAAGUCGUCCAUAUCUUCCUAUAUACACCAGAAGAUUGUACACCACGAUCAAAAAGGUUAACCCAUCUCACCUAUUAACUUUUUUCUUAUCUCCCCUUCAACCACCUAGUCUUGACUUGAAAAUCCUCGAAGUCUCCGGUACCCUUAUUAUACACGUAAACUCCUCAUCGACCUUUGUUUCACAUGUAGUCUCUACACGUUGGAUCGUCCCGCUUAUCUGUGCCUUCACCAAUUUUAGACCUCACUAUCAGACUAUAUACAUACCGAAGUUCGGAACUUCCAGUGCAUCGUGACGGAAGUGGUGUUGAGCGUCCAGUGAUCGUACCGGUACUUCGUACGAUUUAUAGUCAAGAAUAAAAGAAGAAGACGAUGGCACGAUGUGGAUUCCUCCUCUCUUGACUUCGAUGAAAGUAGCGGUAGAAAGGACAGGUUGUGAUCAAGACGAGGAUAGAGAAGAAAUGUCGUUCCAGUAGAGGCUAAUCAGGGUAGACGUCCUGGGUGUCUUGUUCAUCAUAAUUGAGGAUUACCGUGGUCGUCAUUACCUUUGUCUUUGUUCCCUUCCUCCUCUUCGUCCUCUUUCUCCUUCCUCUGUCGUUUUCUUCUUUUCCUUACACAUGGUAGACGUCUUCUUCACAGGUAGUCUUAUCGACUCCGGAUACUUUCACCACUGGGGGAACCCGCCUUCCUCGACCCGGCCACACACUACGUUACCGAUUUCGACCCGUACACGAGUUACCGGAAGUGUAAACGAAGGUGCCUUCACGUCUUGCUACCUCGUCGUAAGAGUAACCUACCCCCUAGUAGACUUCCGUUGGACCUCAAAUACUAAGACCGUGUCGGAAUGGAGCGACGGUAGGGGUACGGGGUCCCUGUACUUCGAGAGACGGAGUUUCGGAGGUGGGUGAUGGGGUGGGAGAAACUGGUGAAGGUUGCACUCGAGGCACUCCAGAACAACUUUGUGGUCUUGGUCCCGGAAUAAUGACUAACCGCAAGGUGUCUUAGGACCUAUGAAGACUUUUUUAAUCGAUUCAGAUGGGUCGUAGCCGUUCCACGGGCGUUUGGAUUUCGAGGACGCUACGUGUCGGAGGAACCAUAUUCGGAGCUGUUCUGUUCCGACUACGUCUGGUUUUAACUUCUGAAACAGUUCUUUUACAGUCUGGAAGAUCUGUAGCUCGCUCUACGUCUCGACCUUAAGUGGGUCCUUCUCAACUUACGGUGGGGUUGUUGCCUAUCACGUCGUUUCGUCGGUGACUUCGGUCAGCGCAUAAACCACUCAGUACCAGUCCGCCUUGUUCUCGUCACACUGUGGCAAACGUUAAACUUACAACAGUCAUGGAGUUGACCGAACCCUCCGGAUGCAAACCAAGACAAAUCUAACCUUCCGUGGGUAUUUGACGGAGGUAGUUGUGACAGGGGACCCCUGUACCAAACACACUCCUGUACGUUAUUGGUCCCGCUCCAACCGUGAAUAACGCACGUUCCGAAAUAUGUAUUAGAACCACUCCUACCGACGUCAUAAUGACAAAGAAACUUUAGGGCCGGACCACUAGGAUGGAAGAGGUUCAAAAGACCCUUUUCACACGCCUAGCUGUCCUAUGUCCGUAACCGACUACCUGAAUGUAUGCUCGCGUUAACACUUCGUGACUAUGAAGACGUCUCCUUUCCAAACGUCUUUUGUUUACGAAGGUAACCCCAUCAUCGGUGAGACAAACCCCUGUUCCUUCUGUACUGCUACGACCUCGUCUUAUUAGACUGACUAACCCCACUUAGUCGUUAUGUCCUGUUACCAAAUGACCCCUUCUUAUUCAUACUGAAACUACGGAGCGUCAGCGUCCGAUAAUGUGAUCCGAACUUGUUCUUUUCCGGACAGGAUCAAUAGGUUCCCGGUGGACCAUGUCCGUUCUGACCAAACGAAUCAAUAGAGUAAUUCACACGACAGGCUGUCCCACUUGCACAAGAACAUUGUCGAGGUUCGUUACGUCGUCAACUAUUGUACCACCUCUUUAACAGUCCAUGACCCGAAUUGUAACAUGCUCAACCUUUAGGACGGUCCUAUAGAGGUAGGCAAAGUAGUUCCAGGAACCCUCUCGAACACUUCUCCUCCGAACUUUUCAAGUGUGUUCUCAAAGUCUCCUUUUUUAGAUUGAAUUCUUUCCUGGAUUUCGUAACAUAUGUCCUACUAAGAAAUCGACGUCCUUAUGCUGUUGAUGACUUUUUUGAACCCUUCUUGAAGUCUUUCUUCCUCUUACUUUAUUAGUUCCUCCAUGAAAGUUUACGACUACAACAGGAUAGUUGAUUAUAUCCCCGUCGACUAGGCGAAUAGUUCCUUUAACCAAAAAAACUGGAGCAGUAAUAUCUACUUCGACCUGUUCGUUAACUUGGGAGUACGACCUAGGGAUAUGAUGCCCCUUUCGCAACGUAAGAACGACCUCUAGUUGUGGUCGAACGUGGACAUUAUAAUAGUUCCCUCCGGUACGUUCCACCGGAUCCCUACAGAAAUAACCUCUCCCGAAGUAGUAACGUACUACUUGAUGACUGAUGCUUUAAUUGUUACGUUAUGUCUUACGUGCUCAGUUAUCGGUUAACCCGUAGCUUGCUCUACAUAAAACCCAACGAGUUUAGCAGUGGUAGGCAACGAAGAACGGAAGAACAGCUAAUAGGUAGAUAGGUCCUUUGAACCUAUUGAGCCACACGGAACGAAAAUGAACUGUGGGCUUACGGUAUACCUUCAGAUUUAUAACUGACGCUCCUCGUAAAUCUGGAACGACCUUGUCCGAGUAAAAUAUUGUCGCCGCUCCGUCUAUAUCAACGUGUUGUACAUCAGUUAGAACAUGAUACACCUCAGAGAGGUUGAAGGUAACGACAAGUCAGCGGAAUGUAACGAGUCCAUGUUGAAAAUUCUCUAUCUGAUCUUCUUAUAGGUCUCCGAAACCCACAACUCCACAGUUGGUAUCUAUCGAAGGUCCCCGCCCUCCGUCUACGACACCAGUAUAGUUACCAAGCCAGCUUGAGGAACCCUCGCCAUCCCAAGGAACCGCUGUUGUCCGCGUACUUGCACCGGUAAUGGUCCCGUGCCUCCGUACAGUGUGAACACACGCUAUCGAGAUGCUAAACGUUGUUACUCAAGGACCGGUCCGAGGAAGCGGUGUAGGCAGUCGUACCGGUUCAUUCCGUACAACUUGGGCCAAGGAUGCCACCACUAAUACCGGAACCGAAGUCGGGUGGACGGAACGGGAGGUAGUCAAUCACGAGGCGAGUAAACCGUUGUUUAGCCGUUAGGAUUUCACAAGGCAAAGAGGUACGUAUGUACAGCGCGUUAAGAACUCACCAUUUUGACCCUCCAGGUAGUACAUGAUGCCAAGACUCCGACCAUGAAACCCCAUAGACUCUACCGAGCUACCCGACAGGACUUACUUGACACACCGGUCUGGUUCAACAAAUAGUACGUGAAAAACGCAAAUCGUCGUUUUUGUUAAUUGACAGGACCCAAAUACAUUGUAUGCAUAACGAAUGGACUGCUACCAACUUAUAAUAACUCACAACGUGUGACCUAAUAAACUAAUAAUGUCUCUACAUGUCGUUGAAUUUAGAGUACUAAUUUCCGUUUAAGAAAACCGUCUAAGAGGGUCCUACACGGGGGAGGGGCCGAAGAAGAUCUUAGAGUUAGAAUGGAAUGGGCCAGAAGUCCCUCUAGCGCACGACGUGAUGGGUAAGGCGGACUCAAGGAAAAGCACC